CGACCCAAUCGGCCUCUGCUCUCUGCUCUCGUCUCGUUCCCGCUGUCUUUUUUCUGCGUUUCUACUCGCCGCUGUGUUUAAUCGCUCGAUGCUGUUUUGAAACGAUAUUGAACUUGCCAGCCUAUCGACGAACGCGAUGUGCAUCGAUCGGAAUCGCGAAACAAUACGAAUGGAGAAAAGUCGUGCGUGUAAAAAUAGCAUUGUUCGCUUUUGUCAUUUUCCCCGGGAAGAUAAUAAUUUAGGAAUUGGAAAAUAAAUUAUAUCAGGAAGAUAUUAUCGCAUGCUUCGGUGCAUGGGUGAAAGUUCUAAAAGUGGGCACUAUAUCGUCGUCUAUGAGAGUAUGCUCGUUACACUUUACAGAAGAAAAUUAUAUCCCAGGGGCGAACUGCACAUCGGAGAGUUUGAAAAAGCUCCAGCAGGCUUGUAAAGGAGAUCGUACCGAAAAUUUCUCUACAUCCUCUCCUCUAGAUUAUAAAAGUAUAGUCGCGUGUGUCGUUUAAAGUUUAAAGAAUACAACGAUUCUAAUAAUCAAUCUCCUAAGCUAUUUAAUUGAUACAGAGCCUAGUAUAUCAAUGUUCAAGCUACUAAAUGAGGGGAAAGAUAUUGAAUAUCUCACAAAAGUUCUCAAAGCACAUAACUCUCAGAAACACUCGACGAGGUUCGAGCGUAACAUACCUAAUGAAGAUUUUAAUGAAGACCAUCGUUCCAGGUUCCUGGUGACUUUUGGCACAUGGCAGACUGAAGAGUUCGUCUUUGAAUUAAACAAAGACCAGAAACAACGGCUUAAACAUCGGCAUAUGAGAUCAAAACCGGCGAGUUUAGCUAACAAAUCACACUAGUUGGCAGCAAACCACCUAUUUGACGGUGGCUAAUUGUUCCGAAGACUAUAUCUCUUGAUAGGUUUCAUGUAGUCAUACAAUUGGCUAUGGAUUGAAAAAACUACCAUCUGCACAUUUUUGCAAAGGGGAAUUUGUAAUACGGCAAUGUAUCAGAAGAGGAUUUUGGCACCUCAGAUAUUAAUGAUGCAAGUAUAUCGUUAAAAAUAAUUCUUCGUACGGAAGAGGAUAAAGUAAAUUAUGUAUAUGACUUGGGGAGGUAAUUGAGAUCAUGCUAUUCAUUAUCCGAUCAGGUAUUGUCUCAUAUUUCGAUAUGCAUCAAGGAAAAAAAGAUGUGUUGGGAGUAUUACGAAAAGCUUGAAAACGUCCGUGAUGUUAACAAUUCGGAGCGAGAAGAGUAACAUGACUGGCUGAUGUGCGAUAUAGAGGAGCGAAAAUAUGACCUUAAAUCAAUUAAUCUGCGUUUGGCUAAUCUUUAUUCCUAAAUGGAUAGUCAGUCAAAGGAAAAUCUCUCAGGAUGACUUCAUUGGCUAUAUAUUUAUCCGAUUAAAAGUGACGAUGGUUUUUGAUAAAUCAAUAAGUCACAUUGUCAUGCAAGGAAAUAACCAUAAUCUAUCACGAUAAGGUCAAUAAGAAAUAUUUUUGAAUAUUUUCUAAACAGAAUUACCUAAAUUAACAUGAAUCCAAUUUAACUUGAACAAAUACGAAACGCGUGAUUAGAAAUAUUUAUUGAAUAUACAUAUUAUUCGUUGAUAUUCAAUUAUAGCGCCUAUCUAUUUCAUCAACUUUGUAAACAUGUAUAUACCUACAUAAACAUCACCUUAACGAUAAUUCCGUUUUAUUAACGUAUAUAAAUUAUACAAUACACAUAAAUUUACAAUCUAAAUCAUGUGCAAGUAUUAUUUUAAUUCUUUGUAAAGAAUGUUAUGCAAUUAAAAUGCAUUUAGCUCCUAUUAUAUAUCUAAAAUAAAAUAUUAAGGUUGGACAACAGCAA